rnacentral:lncRNA from 1 species
UGGAGUGACCCAGUGGAAGAUACUGGAAAAAAAAUACUUGGGCACCCUACUCAAGAGGCCCUUUGACUGAAACCCAUAGAAGCUAAAAACCACACAGUUUGCUUUGUUCUUUACCAAAUUAGGGCAAGUCUCUUUGUCACAAAGUAAGGAGGAUGAUGCUCAACAAGUGGGGUUGUGGAUGGAUGAAAUUAUGACAUCUCCCUCAUAUGACAAUGUCAUCCAUCGUGGAUGAAACCUGGCGUCACUUUGAUUUCACAAAAAAGGUAGAACUCGAGAUCCUUAAAAUAAAAUAUUUAAUUUGCUGACGUGUCAACUACAGUUGGGUUGCAUGUUCCUGUUCUCCGGGCAGGACUCGGUCCACUGGGUUGGAAGGCGGGCAGCUCCUUCUCCUUUUGCUUUAUUUUUUAUUUGUUUCAAAUUUUGCCAAUAUGGGUUUUCCCCCUAAACUUGAGGCGAGCAUUAUCGCUUACAAAGAGGAUUCUACAGCGAGCUUGCUUAAUAUAAGAAGGGUUAAUUAGAGGGUGGGCUGGAUUAAUGAGGAGAGGUGCAACCUAUGCACAGAGAUUGUGAGCAUGAAUUUUCCAAAAUGCCGAGUCUGAGAAACGACCAGGUCUUCAAUUUGCCCCGCUUAGGACCAACAUGAUCUGGUUUAUUUUUAUUUUUUAUUUUUAUUUUUUUACAAUUACUAUGCCUGUAUGAUUCCCACCUGGUGAAUUGGGUCCCAACGUUUCUUACUCCAUCCCCACCCCCUACUUUAAUUUCACCUUAUGAGAAAUGAUGGCUGAUUAUUGUUUCUUUCAAAAUCUCUCCUGGGACAUUCAUACACCCCAGAACAUAAUCCCACAAAAAUCAAAAAUUAAAUAAAGCAUUGUGUGAUGUGUUCCCACACUUUAAAUAUGAACUUGAGAGUAACCUAUAUAAUCAUUGUAUGUUCCAGCCUUUUCUAUUGUACC